UUCUCAGGAUAACUUUGAAAAAUAAUUUUGAAAAGUUCCUGGAAAAUUCACCUGUGUGAUUGUUGUUUUGAGAAGACUGAAGAUCCAUCUAUAUGGAGAGCUGCAGGAGCUACUGGGUGAAGGGUAGUGGACAUGCCGUGUGGAAGCAUGAGUGGCACGAGGGUGACUCAGACUCUGUGCAAGUCUGACAGUGCUGUGAGGCUCCCUACUCUCCCCCCUGCACCCUGCUUGUUGAAUUGCAAAUGAAGUACAGCCAGGAGGACCACCUGCAAACACGGUGUUCAAAGAGUGCAGCGCUUCAGUCCCGCAAAGUUUCUUCAAAGAAACCCCCAGCCUGGAACUGGUGCGGCUCUGCAGAGGAAAACGCCGCACUGUACUUCAAAGCGGAGAAAAUCUGCAGCUGCCGGGAGCCCGCCUGCCCCAGGAGGUGUCACUGUUGGGACUGGCAGGGUGAGCUCCGGAGCUGCUGUUUGUUUUCUAAAGCCUGCUUUGACCGUGAGGUAGGAAUUGACCUGUGCUACACCUCCCCUCCCCACCCCAGCCAGUCUGGGAAAGGGGAUCGCAGGUAAAAACGAGCUGGUGGCUUCUGUGGAGGUAUGGGCAUGUAUGUAAGUGAGAUAAGAUACUCAGCAUUCAGUUUUUUAUUUUAAGAAAUACCAGUUAAUCCAGGCUGCUUACAGUAGUUGCUUUCCCUGUUCUCAAAGUGCUGAUGAAUCACACCAAAUCGGGGAGGAUAUACCAGGGUAUAGCUUCUACUUUUUUCCUUUUAAUACUGUUUGAGGUGAAGAACAAAUGAAUUUGUGAUGUGAUAUUUGCUGACUAAAUGUUUUUUACUAAAUAAUGCUCUCUCUUUAAAUUUACUAAAUCAUAUGCUUUAAGAAAAAAGUGCAUACUUUUAGAGCACUCAAGGAUUGAAAGUUUUCUAACCAUAAAUAUAAUGCAAAUGAUCUGCGAUGCAGACACACAUACACACACACACACACAUAUAUAUACACAUACACACACAGUAACUUCAAGAUUAGGAAUUUUGAUGAUGAGUAUUCUUUUUCAUGGCAAAAAAAAAAGAAAAAAAAUCUUUGAAAGUUAAACUUAGUUUUUGGAGUAUACUGCAGCCUGAGGUAAGUUGCUUCCAUGGUUAAUUAUAUUCGCCAUCGGUGUUUUGCAUCUUAUUUCUAGUAUCAGUGUCAUUUUAUUCAGCCUUCAGCUUGGGGAUUUGCUACACUAGAUCUUCCAGUUUGCCCAUUUUCUGUGGGUUUAUGUGUCAAGAAGUUCCACACCUCCACAGCAGUAAGGGAAGGUCUAGCAAGUUGCAUCUUCUGCUUGGCAGUUAUUGCUUAUCCUGAUGGUUUGUGGUGGAUAUCUGGACAUAAGAAUUCUAGGAAUUUAAAAAAAAAAAAAAAAAGUCAAUUUAGUUUUAAAUAUCUUCAAACUCUCUUUGUAUUUUUGAGUAAAGCACAAAGCAGAAACUCUUAUUUUCUCUCAAACGAACUGCUGAUGUUUGCACAGAGCACAC
rnacentral:lncRNA from 1 species